ACUAAGACACUUCUGGAUCUGUAUCUUCUCUCUGAAAUGUACUUCAUGAUAUUCUGUUUGAUAUCAGAGUUCAAAAUACAUCUGACUUGAAGAGAAAUUUAGAAUUAUAAUCUCUUAAACACUCUAAUUAGGGAUGGCUACAGUUUAUUUUCAUUUGACUAUUUAGAAAUAUCAACAUUUCAACUGAAUUCUCUAGUAACAAUAAAGUCUUGAAGUGACUCCCAGUGUAAAAUCUCCUUUGCUUUUAAAAUAUCUAUAACAGAAAAUAGUCCUGUUCAAUACUAGCACUAUGUUUUAUAAUGUGGAGAACAGUUUGGAAAUAGUGGAAGCACCACAGAUAUAACGAUGUUUGGUUUAGUACUUUGUUUUCAACCUUUUAUUCAGCAUGCACUCUAGUUUCUAUUUCUCAUUGUCUUUGGAGAAAUAAAAAUCAUGUUAAAUCUGCCAUAGCUUGUGGUUGAGUCACUGCUGGUCAAUUACAGAAGAGUUAGGAACUUUUUUUCCUAAUAUUUGCUAAAUGAGUCCCAGCAGUUUUGUGAAUCAGGGCAGCCAUUGUAUUGUGGUCCUAUUGAAAGCUCUAACUGUCCCUGUUUCUCCAUGCUGCUUUGUUUGACUAAGGAAUCCAAUGAUCAGAUUUCAGAACCCCUCACUGAUUCUCAGCGGGUCAUUACAUGUGACUCCAUGUCCGUAGGAUGUGAUGAGCCAAAUGGAAAUGAGAGAUUGAGUCGAUUUACGGACCAUGAGAUCCCUGAAGACCCACAAAUUGCAGAAGAAUAUUAUAAUGAAGAGUUUGAAUCCUGUUCAGAAGACAGUGAAACAGAGGAGGAUGUGGAAGUGUCCCAGACUGUAUCUAAGACAAAUCAGCAGGACAGUGAUAUUGAAGCGAUGGUCAAGCAUUUGGAGAGCAUCCUUAAUAAUAGCUCACUGGGUAAGAUCAUAUUUCUUCUUUAA
rnacentral:lncRNA from 1 species